rnacentral:rRNA from 1 species
AUGGUGUCCCGCGCUGGGUUCGCCUCCCUCCUCGGCGCCUCCUUCCUCCUGCUCCUGCGCAGCGCCGAGCCGCUCGGGUUCAACCACCGCCCGACGACCGCCGGCGACGAGCUCUCGGCCGCCCCGAGCAGAUACCUGACGCGGGAGGAGCGCUGGAUGAGCCAGCGCCUCGACCACUUCUCCCCCACCGACCACCGCCAAUUCAAGCAGCGCUACUUCGAGUUCCUGGACUACCACGACGACCCUAACGGCCCGGUGUUCCUGCGCAUCUGCGGCGAGUCCUCCUGCGACGGCCUCCCCAACGACUACCUGGCCGUCAUCGCCAAGAAGUUCGGCGCGGCGGUGGUGACGCCGGAGCACCGGUACUACGGCAAGAGCUCCCCGUUCGACAGCCUCACCACCGACAACCUCAGGUUCCUCUCGUCCAAGCAGGCGCUCUUCGACCUCGCCGUCUUCCGCCAGUAUUACCAGGAAAAACUGAAUUCUCAGUACAACCGGAGCGCGGGGUUCGACAAUCCGUGGUUCGUCUUCGGGGUCUCCUACUCCGGGGCUCUCAGCGCAUGGUUCAGGCUCAAGUUCCCUCACCUGACAUGCGGAAGCCUCGCCAGCUCCGGGGUGGUUCUUGCUGUGUACAACUUCACUGAUUUCGACAAGCAGGUCGGAGAGUCGGCUGGCCCUCAGUGCAAAGCCGCCCUUCAGGAAAUAACUAGACUUGUCGACGAACAACUUCGGUCAGAUAGCCACUCGGUGAAGGCCUUGUUCGGAGCAGAUUCGUUGAAAAAUGACGGCGACUUCCUCUUUCUACUGGCAGAUGCAGCAGCCACAACAUUCCAGUAUGGGAAUCCUGAUGCCUUGUGCUCUCCUCUAGCAAAUGCGAAGAAAAAGGGGGAAAGUUUGGUGGAAACAUAUGCUCAUUUUGUGAAAGAUUACUUCAUUAAAAAAUUGGGGACUACAGUAUCUUCUUAUGAUCAAGAGUAUUUGAAGGAAACAACUCCCGAUGAUUCUAGUUCUAGACUUUGGUGGUUCCAAGUUUGCAGUGAAGUUGCCUAUUUUCAAGUCGCACCCAAAAAUGACAGUGUUCGUUCUGCGCAGGUCAAUACAAGGUACAAUUUGGACCUGUGUAAAAAUGUUUAUGGAGAAGGAGUUUAUCCUGAUGUGUUCAUGACAAACUUAUAUUAUGGAGGCACAAGUAUUGCCGCUUCUAAAAUUGUGUUUACAAAUGGCUCUCAAGAUCCAUGGCGUCAUGCCUCCAAACAGAAGUCAUCGGAAGACAUGCCAUCAUACAUAAUCAAAUGUAGCAACUGCGGACAUGGCACUGAUUUGAGAGGAUGUCCCCAGCUUCCUUUCAGGAUUGAAGGUGACUCUUCAAACUGCACGUCCCCAGAAGCUGUGAACACAGUAAGGAAGCAGAUCGUCAAGCACAUCGACCUGUGGCUAUCACAAUGCCAUGAACCAACAAGGGCGUGGUGA